GACGUAGGGCGCGAGCGUUGUCCGGAUUUAUUGGGCGUAAAGGGCGCGUAGGCGGCCCCGCAAGUCGACUGUGAAAUCUCCGGGCUUAACUCGGAAAGGUCAGCCGAUACUGCGGGGCUAGAGUGCAGAAGGGGCAACUGGAAUUCUCGGUGUAGCGGUGAAAUGCGUAGAUAUCGAGAGGAACACCUGCGGCGAAGGCGGGUUGCUGGGCUGACACUGACGCUGAUGCGCGAAAGCUAGGGGAGCGAACGGG
rnacentral:rRNA from 1 species